GGGACCCUAGCUAGUUCAAGGGGCUAGUAAUGGAAUACAAAUCCUUUCACCUCUAGGCAUCUGUUCAAAGCUACACCAUUGACUGAGAGUCAUUACCGUCUCAUGGCUGUUCAGAGGAAUGACUAGGUGAGCUCUGCUCUGCGUCCUACGAGCAAGUUGUUGCAUUACUAAGCCACACGGUGAAUCUCAACAGAAAGCUGGGGCCAGGCCCCUUCCAGCACUGGAGCAGCAGCUCCACAUACAAAGUUGUCCUCAGUUUUCUCUUCUGGAGCUCCCCUCUGAGGUCAUGAUACCUGAAAGGCAGCUGUGUCCUUCUAAAACUCCCCUCCUAGCUGCUACUGUUGUUCAAGAGGUGAGAGAAGAUGGAGGAGCACACCCAUUCCCAUUCUGCUCCUGCCACCUGUCCCACAGUCCAAACCUAUCCUAGCCAAGGAACACUUUUUUUGGUUUAGAAUCAUAGAAUGAAUCAUAAAAUGGCUUGGGUUGGAAGGGACCUCAGAGAUCAUCUAGUACCAACCCCCUGCCAGGGGCAGCAGUACCAACCAUUGUAUCAGAGCGCAGCUCAGGCCUGUUCCUCUCAGCCUGACAGGAGCCUGCCUGCAGUGGGGAGGGAUCUCAGAGAAUUUGCAUUCCCCCACAUUUUAAAUUGCUGUCAUUUCACUUACCCACCAAGAUGGCUCCGUCAGCUUUCCCCUCAAGUCAUUUACGCCUCAAAUCCCAUCCUGAGGGAAUCCAGAGGCAGGCACCGAGGUGGUUCCACAGAGGCACUGGGCCUCUCUGUGCUGGUAACACCCACUGACGCCAUUUUGUUUUCCCACCACAGGACAGCAGCCUCUCAGGCCAGGCCCUCACCUCACAGCCUCCCCACAUCUGUGUGCAUUGCGGAGAGGGGUUGCAUUUCACCUCACAUAUCCUAUAUUCAAAUAUAUAUCUAUGUAUGGGUACAACAUAGGUGGGAGAGAUUGCUGCCAGGCUCUGGGAUUUGUAUGUGGUGGGUUUCAGAGGGAUUGUCAUCAUGACAGGUGGGGAAGGCUGUGGGAAACCAGGCCUGGAGAGGAGAAGUAGGAGACACUUAACCAACUCUGGCUUUAUGGAGAAAAGUGGCUUUCCCAGACUGACUGUUUCUGCCCCAAUUGCUUCAGGUUGGCAGAGGAUCCCAGGUGACCUGUGAGGGGACUGAAUGCUGUUGAGUGCUGCCAGCCACUCCUGGGUGGAUGUAGGGUUGGUGUCCAACUGCACGCUACAGUGUUACACGUCUUUCUGCUCUCAAAAACAGAGAAUUUAAAUCCAUUAAUUUUUUUAAAAUAUACUAAGCUGCCACCUCUCCUACUUGCUUGUUUCAUUGUGAGACUUUUCAGUUCCCAUUUAAGAAGAGACAUCUCAUCCCAGGAGCUGCAGAGCAAACUCCCUUUCCACAUACAGAGGAACAUGAUGUUGCUAGGCAAGCUUAAAAAGAAGACAAGGCAGAGCAAGUAGUCCAGCCUGACACAUCAUUGGCUGUGUGCUCUACUAAAUCAAGUCAGAAUUCAGACCUCUUACAGUAGUGUACUCCUGUGCAUUGUAGAGGGGUUCUUUUGCUCCAAUCAGUUUUCAUCAGGAGUGGCUUAUCGGACAUAAAAAGCUGUAAAUGAUUGCUGGUGUUUCAAAGCAGAAAUUCUCCUUUGAAAAGAACAUGUUCCCAGUGCUGGCAUGAAAUACUUGCCUGAAGAAAAUAUGUUAUGGUCCUUAAGAAAUCAUCAUCAGUAACAGUAAGGCAGCAGGAAAAGAAAAGCACUAUGAAGACGCACCUUGAGGAAGAAGGUGUGGUGGUCACCCAGGUUUUUUGGGUGUCCUUCUGUGUUCUGCCAGUGGUAUCACUGCUUUAUUUGCAAGGAGCCAUCCAUUUUACCCAAAGAAGAUGAUCUCAUUUUAAAGCAGAAGCAUCUGUUUGGAGCUGCAGUCCUCAGUGUUUCUCAAGAAACCGUUGAAACUGUCAACAUUUUAGGAAAGCUAGAGGUAUUGCAGCCAUUUCCUAUCAUGCUGUCUUUCUAAGUAUGCAUAGUAAUAGUACAUUUGAACAGAUUAGGUUAAAUGUUAAACCUGACUUGAUUAAUGCUGAUGGAAACACAGUGCUCAGUACCCUGUGCAAAAUUAUGGUUUGAAUGAAAAUUUCACGUUAAAUAAGUCAAAAUGUAUCAAUUUAGAACUGUUAAAUGUGAUACUGUUUUAACAUAACACGUUUCUAAAACUGAGUAUCAUUCUGAGAUAAGCAGAGAAGUUUCAGUCCUGUACAUUUAUAAAUGUUGGCAUUAUUGGUGUUCUUUCUUUGUAUUUUUUGAAUCCAUUUCCAUCAGAAAAUUCUGUGUGGGAAAGAAAUUGGGAAAAAUUACUCUCAAGGAUCUUGAGUCAAGUAAUCUACUCAGGAAUUUUGUUAUGUUCAUCAUUCUGAUUAAAUAGAGAAUUAAGUAGUCAACCUUUAUCUACAGCUUGCUGAAUAUUUGUUUUGCAGUACAAAACCACAACAGAAAGCUCAGAAGGUAAGUAUGUGCUUUAGCAGUGCUGGCAUCCCUGAUGAUUCUUGUACAGUAACAGGGUAAUAAUAAACAGAAAUGCCUUUUGAAUUACAAGUUCCAUUGGAAUCGCAGGGGGAAGGUCAGUGUUUGCCAAAUUGAAGAAGACAAAACUGGCAUGAAAGGAAUUUUAUGUUCAGGCUUCUCAGAGGGGAUUAGAAGUGCUUUCUUAAUAGUGACUGAAAGGAAACUAGAAUGGUGUCACUGAACAUACAGACAUUGCCCUGCUUAUGCACAUAUACACCCACAGUCACCACACACAGCAGCACAAGAAUCAAAUGCAUAAAGUUGCUGCAACUUUUUUUCAUCCUUCAUCUCCACAUGCUAAAUAUAUAAUAAGAUACCUUGUUUUCUUGGCCUGUAGACCCACAUGACCAAAAUGAGGGACAUUAGUAAGUGUUAGAAAAAGUAUUCAAGUGUGAAAUGAAUUUUUCAAACAUUAAUAAGUAUUUCUAGAACCUCAGUUUCAUAAUUUGACAGUUCCACAGUUAAUAAAUCACAGCAAAAGGAAAGUGUGAUAACAGCAGAGCAAAAGGAAGCCUGGAUCUAUGAAGUGCAACUGAGGAAUAAGUGAAAGAAGCAUGCUGAUGACCCUGAGUUUACUUUUGGGUUUUCUGAGCUUUCACUCAAUUAAAUUCAUUCCUCUCCUCUAAAGACCUAUUAUAUGCCUUUACCUAGGUUUCUAACUGAUUUUUCUUGUAAUUCAGCUUCUUUGCCAAGUUAUU